CAAGGAUGUUUUCAUUGAUCAAGAACGAAGGUUAGGGGAUCGAAAACGAUCAGAUACCGUUGUAGUCUUAACAGUAAACGAUGCCGACUAGGGAUCGGACGAGGAUUUUUAAUGACUCGUUCGNCACCUGAAGAGAAAUCUUUAAGUNUAGGUUCGGGGGGGAGUAUGGUCGCAAGGCUGAAACUUAAAGGAAUUGACGGAAGGGCACCACCAGGUGUGGAGCCUGCGGCUUAAUUUGACUCAACACGGGGAAACUCACCAGGUCCAGACACGACAAGGAUUGACAGAUUGAUAGCUCUUUCUUGAUUUCGUGGUUGGUGGUGCAUGGCCGUUCUUAGUUGGUGGAGUGAUUUGUCUGGUUAAUUCCGAUAACGAACGAGACCUUAACCUGCUAAAUAGCCCGGCCGGCUUUGGCUGGUCGCUGGCUUCU
rnacentral:rRNA from 1 species